AGAGGACUGUCACUGUGGACACC
rnacentral:piRNA from 1 species